UACGGAGGGUGCAAGCGUUAUCCGGAUUUACUGGGGUUAAAGGGUGCGUAGGUGGUUUUGUAAGUCAGUGGUGAAAGCCCGGAGCUCAACUCCGGAACUGCCAUUGAUACUGCUUAACUUGAAUCAACUUGAGGUGGAUGGAAUAUUACAUGUAGCGGUGAAAUGCUUAGAUAUGUAAUAGAACACCGAUUGCGAAGGCAGUUCACUAAGGUUGUAUUGACACUGAGGCACGAAAGCGUGGGGAUCAAACAGG
rnacentral:rRNA from 1 species